rnacentral:rRNA from 1 species
GACGUAGGGCGCGAGCGUUGUCCGGAUUUAUUGGGCGUAAAGAGCUCGUAGGCGGCUUGUCGCGUCGACUGUGAAAACCCGCGGCUCAACUGCGGGCCUGCAGCCGAUACGGGCAGGCUAGAGUUCGGUAGGGGAGGACUGGAAUUCCUGGUGUAGCAGUGAAAUGCGUAGAUAUCAGGAGGAAUACCGAUGGCGAAGGCAGGUCUGCUGGGCUGACACGUGACGCUCGAUGCACGAAAGCGUGGG